UACGGAGGGUGCAAGCGUUGUCCGGAUUUAUUGGGUUUAAAGGGUGCGUAGGCGGCCAUUUAAGUCAGCGGUGAAAGACUUCAGCUCAACUGAAGUACUGCCGUUGAUACUGAGUGGCUUGAGUAUUGACGAAGAGGGCAGAAUUGAAGGUGUAGCGGUGAAAUGCAUAGAUAUCUUCAAGAAUACCGAUUGCGAAGGCAGCUCUCUAGGGAAUAACUGACGCUGAGGCACGAAAGCGUGGGUAGCAAACAGG
rnacentral:rRNA from 1 species